rnacentral:rRNA from 1 species
UACGUAGGUGGCAAGCGUUGUCCGGAUUUACUGGGUGUAAAGGGCGCGUAGGCGGGACAGCAAGUCAGGUGUGAAAUCUCUGAGCUCAACUCAGAAACUGCACUUGAAACUGUUGUUCUUGAGUGUCGGAGAGGUAGACGGAAUUCCUAGUGUAGCGGUGAAAUGCGUAGAUAUUAGGAGGAACACCAGUGGCGAAGGCGGUCUACUGGACGAUAACUGACGCUGAGGCGCGAAAGCGUGGGGAG